UGCGUAGGGUGCAAGCGUUGUCCGGAAUUAUUGGGCGUAAAGAGCUCGUAGGCGGUUCGUCGCGUCGGCUGUGAAAACCCGGAGCUCAACUCCGGGCCUGCAGUCGAUACGGGCGGACUUGAGUGUUGCAGGGGAGACUGGAAUUCCUGGUGUAGCGGUGAAAUGCGCAGAUAUCAGGAGGAACACCGGUGGCGAAGGCGGGUCUCUGGGCAACUACUGACGCUGAGGAGCGAAAGCGUGGGGAGCGAACAGG
rnacentral:rRNA from 1 species